rnacentral:misc_RNA from 1 species
UCGAGUUAGGGUCCUCUGGGCCCGACCUCCAACCCGUUGUCUACCUUACCUCUUGUUGCCUCGGCGGGCCCGUCAGCCCCCUUUUAGGGGGCGACCGCCGGAGGGUUUACGCCCUCUGGCCCGCGCCUGCCGGUGGCCCUUUAACUAAAAUUAUUGUUGAAUCGUGUCGUCUGAGUUGAGAAAUCAAUAAUCAA